rnacentral:sRNA from 1 species
UUCCAUAUUAACUAUGAUAACAUGAAAGUGUAAGUUUUUGUUUUACGAUUAGUUCUGUGCUUUUGGGUUCAUUCCUAUUCAAGAAAUUAGAUUUACAAAUUUAUAAAAUAAGGAAGUACCAAAAAUGGCACAAGGAACUGUUAAAUGGUUUAACGCAACUAAAGGCUUCGGCUUUAUCACUACUGAAGAAGGAAACGACGUUUUCGCACACUUCUCAGCUAUCCAAACUGAUGGAUUCAAAACACUUGACGAAGGUCAAAAAGUUACUUUUGACGUUGAAGAAGGCCCUCGUGGACCUCAAGCUGUUAACAUCCAAAAAUAAUUAAAGCUUUGAGGGGUCACUGACAAAUUUUGUCAGUGACUUUUU